AAACUGUGGUGUGAGCUUACUCUUUAAUAUCUACUGAAUCGAUCCCAUGCCUCGUAGAAGGAUUCUUGUCCUCCUUGCACAAAAGUGGAGAUCUUAUUCCUUAUCGU